GAAAAUUUCGCAAGGCCGCGUGACUCAGUAAAGGGCCGAUUUAAAAAAAAAUUUCGAGUGUUUCCGAAGCGUGUUUUACUGUCAAUCUAUCAUUUUCCACCAUGGGAACAGAAGCCACCCGGAAGUGGGGCAGGACUGGCCAGGAAGUGAUUUUAUCAAUGGUAGAAACCUGUUAGUUGCUGGGGAGACUGUGUCCCUAGUACAUGUUUGUUUAGUGAUUGAGUUCUGAUAUGUUAUUAUUUCACACCUCGGUUGACUGUCAUCAUUGCAAAUGUCGAUAUAUGCAGUGCAUUGUGUGAAAUCAUUGGGCGAUAACAUUUAAACUGGUGAUAGUAUUGUUUCCUUUAGAUAUGUGACAAAAGAUUAAAAACAAACACUAACCAUCA